rnacentral:rRNA from 1 species
CAGCGCCGCGGUAAUACGUAGGGUGCAAGCGUUAAUCGGAAUUACUGGGCGUAAAGCGUGCGCAGGCGGUUUGUUAAGACAGAUGUGAAAUCCCCGGGCUCAACCUGGGAACUGCAUUUGUGACUGGCAAGCUAGAGUGUGGCAGAGGGGGGUGGAAUUCCGCGUGUAGCAGUGAAAUGCGUAGAUAUGCGGAGGAACACCGAUGGCGAAGGCAGCCCCCUGGGCCAACACUGACGCUCAUGCACGAAAGCGUGGGGAGCAAACAGGAUUAGAUACCCCCGUAGUCCCUGUCUCUUAUACA